GCGAGCCUCCUCCGGGAGAUGCUUCCACCUCGGAGCCGCAGAAGGCGGACGCUUCCUCGGCCUGCAGCCGCUCCGGCGACUGCGGCCGAGGGGUGCCCUUCUCCAGGGGUGGGAGCAGUGGGAGAGGGAGGGCCUAAACCUCCUCCAAAGUGAUGCCGGAGUGAGUUUUAGUCUCCGGGGACCUCCCUUACCCCGAUCCGACCACGGCGGAGGAGGAGAACCACCGUGACCGAGAAGGAGGCGCGAGAGACCCAGGGUGGGAGCAGUGGGAGAGGGAGGGCCUAAACCUCCUCCAAAGUGAUGCCGGAGUGAGUUUUAGUCUCCGGGGACCUCCCUUACCCCGAUCCGACCACGGCGGAGGAGGAGAACCACCGUGACCGAGAAGGAGGCGCGAGAGACCCAGGGUGGGAGCAGUGGGAGAGGGAGGACCUAAACCUCCUCCAAAGUGAUGCCCGAGUGAGUUUUAGUCUCCGGGGACCUCCCUUACCCCGAUCCGACCACGGCGGAGGAGGAGAACCACCGUGACCGAGAAGGAGGCGCGAGAGACCCAGGUACGAUCCUCCUUUUUUUUUUCCCCUCUUUUUCUUUCUUUAUUUUCUUUUAUUUUCUUUUCUCCUCCUCCCUCUGGUGGCGCACCACCUCCUCCGUUUUUCUUUCCAGAGUUUUCCCGCCUCUUCGCCUCCAUCCUCUCUCUCUCUCUCUCUCUCUCUCGCCCCCCCCCCCCCCCUCCUUCGUCUCCACCGGAAGCCCUAGCCCCUCUGUGGUGGCUUUAAAUUCUGUCUUUUGAGUUUUCACAUGCUUCUUUUUUCUAGAAGCCAACUAUGUUUUUUUUCUCUUGAUCAAGUCACCAUGUAUUUAGUUUCCCAUUCAUACUUACUAAGUAUUCCUCCCGCUUUUCAAGAGAGGGAGGCACCUAUUUUAUGGCAUCUUAGUUUUUAUAUUCUUAUAAUUAAGUAAGCUCUGUGAUAACUGAAUUAUGUCGCCAAUAGUUAUAUAAGUUCUGCAUUUUUCUACACUUGUUAUUGGCAUGCUAUCCAUGUGAUUUUGUGUUGAUUAUGGUGGGAUAUAGAAUCACCGUUCCUGUAAUUUAUGCAUUACACAGUAAGUCAUGGAUCUCCUCUCCAUUAUGUUUAAGUGCACUUAGUUUUGAGAGUUCCUCGAAUUUCAGCCUCCCUCUUCAUCUUCGCCUUCUCUGCUUUCUAAUUGCUGGGCUUUUUGUUUUCAAGAUU